CGCGGGGUAGGGGAGCCCGGUCGUCCCCGCCGUCUUCAUACGUCGGAGAUCGCCGGUUCAAAUCCAGCCCCCGCUACCA
rnacentral:tRNA from 1 species